CCCCACGAGACCAUGAGACACUUAAUCACCCUCUUUACUCCUCUGGCAGAUUCUCGCCAGGCAACCAGACGCAGCACUUUGGAACAGACUGAAAAAAGAAAAAAAAAAAAAAACGAGAGCGCGGUUCUCAAAAGCAGAAAAAGUCCAAAUCGAAAUUCAAGAGCAGCUAAUCCCUCCUGUUUUUUUUUUUGGAAGGGGCAAAGAAGCUAAUCCUGUUUUUCUGCUUAGGACUCGUUUGACACGUCCACUUAACAAUGCGUCAGGUCAACAUUUCAUUCUCUCGGAGUGAUGAAAGCGGCAAGAAGCAAGCGUUGUCGGAACGCCGGCCCGGCUAUCAUAACACUUAAGUGGCCGACCGAUAAAUAACCGAUAUAAAACGUUACAGUCCCCAGACAUAUAAGGUCAAUAUUAAUAAAAGCCUGGCCACACAAUCGCAAGGCAUAAAAAUGGAAUUAAUGUUGGAACGUUACUUUCUGAAUAUCAACAAGCUCAGGCCUCAGGAUCCGUCUGGAGAUUGGCUGUGGAUUUAUGCUGUUGCGCCUCUCUUCUCUCAGAAGUGCUGACGGGGAAAAGGAGGGGGCAACAAGCGUCGGCGAUCAAGGAAAAUUGCUGCGCUCAGGGGGAACAGCGAAUUCUGCAGAGACGGACAGACGGACGGAUGGCGAGGAACGUAGUCAGACCUCAUUUUGAGUCUUUUGUUUGUCCGAUCGAGGGGGAAGGAGCAGCAUUCUCAGGGAGAUGAGCGGCGGCCGAACGAGAAUGUGACAUUUGCAAAGGUGGCGUGAGAGCGGUCGCAUGGCAACUACAAGCAAAAGGGACGGACGGGGUCGUUUUACGUCGGCCUCUCUCAGUAACGGCAAUUAUUUUUAAACUCCGAAAGAAGCACCUGUUCCGAGCGCUGGUAUGCGUUACCACUGUGGUUGCCCUCACCGGACAAUUCAUUAUGUAUCUCGGCACACCCGAUUCGAGCAAAUACCGCUUUUGUUCGUGAGGCAUUCCAAAACAAAGUGUUGAGGUCAAACUGUCAGGUAAUGUUUUACACAGCAUUUUAACUUUUGUGCAAGCGUGAAAAUCAAACUGGUUGGGUUGUAGUUUCUCAA